rnacentral:rRNA from 1 species
AACGCGAAGAACCUUACCUACACUUGACAUCCUCGGAACUUUCUAGAGAUAGAUUGGUGCCUUCGGGAACCGAGUGACAGGUGCUGCAUGGCUGUCGUCAGCUCGUGUCGUGAGAUGUUGGGUUAAGUCCCGUAACGAGCGCAACCCUUAUCCUUAUUUGCCAGCGGUUCGGCCGGGAACUCUAAGGAGACUGCCGAUGACAAAUCGGAGGAAGGUGGGGACGACGUCAAGUCAUCAUGGCCCUUACGUGUAGGGCUACACACGUGCUACAAUGGUCGGUACAAACGGUCGCGAACCCGCGAGGGGAAGCCAAUCCGAGAAAGCCGAUCGUAGUCCGGAUUGGGGUCUGCAACUCGACCCCAUGAAGUCGGAAUCGCUAGUAAUCGUGAAUCAGAAUGUCACGGUGAAUACGUUCCCGGGUCUUGUACACACCG